UACGUAGGGGGCAAGCGUUGUCCGGAAUUAUUGGGCGUAAAGCGCGUGUAGGCGGCAGGGCAAGUCGGAUGUGAAAUCCCGUGGCUCAACCACGGAAGUGCACCCGAAACUGCCCAGCUAGAGUCUCGGAGAGGAAGGUGGAAUGCUUGGUGUAGAGGUGAAAUUCGUAGAUAUCAAGCGGAACACCGGUGGCGAAGGCGGCCUUCUGGACGAUGACUGACGCUGAGACGCGAAAGCGUGGGGAGCAAACAGG
rnacentral:rRNA from 1 species